CAAGAUGGGACAAGCCCAAUUUAAAGUCUUCUUCCAAAAAUGUGAAGUGAGGAUUUGACCUAAUCCAAGCGAGGCCAAGAACAAGAGGCGGCGACAGUUGACGGAGGUGACAAGGUCAUCGACCACAAAGAUUAAGAGAGGGCAAAGAUCACUAGAAAGAGGAGACGAGGAGACAACAACCAUCAGCUUCACACAUAAGAGUCGAUUCUCGUGGCUGGGGAAGGAGAGGAGAACAGAUUCAACAACGAAGUAGCCGCUGGUUCUUCCAAUAGGAGGUGGAGCAUGUCGGGCCGGUGGGCCAAAGAUCUUCAGAAAAGAGAUGCCACCAGAUCUGCACUCGACGAGAUGCAACAACGAGAUGGAAAAUGAUGAGAGGCGGAAAGACGGGAUACAAACUUGAAAAUUUCGGGACAAAACGCGUUUGGAUUCUUCGGGAGAU